AUCAUUAUUGAGAUUAUUCAUACACGUGAACGAAUUAUGCUUGGCGCGAGCGCUGUGCUUGCGCCGAUAUUAACGCAUAUAAUUUGUCUGAUAGAUUAAAGAAAUUUAAAACUUUCAACAACGGAUCUCUUGGUUCUCGCAUCGAUGAAGAACGCAGCGAAGCGCGAUAGGUAUUGUGAAUUGCAGAAUCGUGAAUCAUCGAAUUUUUGAACGCACAUUGCACCCAUUGGUAUUCCGAUGGGUAUACUUGUUUGAGCGUCAUUUCAUUCUCCUUUUGGGUUUUGGCAUGAAUAUUUCUUGCUGAAUUAUAAUGGUGUGGCUACCAGACUACAACGUGAUAGAUAUUUCGUUGGAUGUGACUGGGAUUGCUCACCUUAAAAACAUUGUAUAGACCUCAAAUCAAGCAGGAUUACCCGCUGAACUUAAGCAUAUCAAUAAGCGGAGGA
rnacentral:rRNA from 1 species